GUCUCGUUCCCGUGUUUGUGGGAUGAAGGCAGGAGCCCAGAGGCGAGAAGAGGCUGGGGCAGCAAAAGCCCC
rnacentral:miRNA from 1 species